rnacentral:rRNA from 1 species
AACGAACGCUGGCGGCAUGCCUAACACAUGCAAGUCGAACGAGACCUUCGGGUCUAGUGGCGCACGGGUGCGUAACGCGGGGGAACCUGCCCUUAGGUUCGGAAUAACUCCCCGAAAGGUGUGCUAAUACCGGAUAAUGUCUUCGUACCAAAGAUUUAUCGCCUUUGGAUGGGCCCGCGUCGCAUUAGCUAGUUGGUAGGGUAAAAGCCUACCAAGGCAACGAUGCGUAGCUGAUCUGAGAGGGUGAUCGGCCACACUGGAACUGAGACACGGUCCAGACUCCUACGGGAGGCAGCAGUAGGGAAUCUUCCGCAAUGGGCGAAAGCCUGACGGAGCAACGCCGCGUGAGUGAUGAAGGUCUUCGGAUCGUAAAACUCUGUUAUUAGGGAAGAACAAAUGUGUAAGUAACUAUGCACGUCUUGACGGUACCUAAUCAGAAAGCCACGGCUAACUACGUG